rnacentral:lncRNA from 1 species
GCUUGACCAUGUAGGGGUGAAGGGCAAACUUCCCCUUUACCCUCUGAAGUUUCACUGAAAAUCAACCGACAAGGCAGAUUAAAAGGAAAAAAGGCAUACAAAUUUAUUUGAUCAUAGUUUUACAUGCCAUGGGAGCCUUCAGAAUGAAGAUCCAAAGAUACAGCAAAAUUGUCCAUUCUUAUGCUUACAUUCAACAGAGUAUGGACAGCCAUGUAGAAAUGUGACUGGACAAAAAGUAUAUUGUUACCAGAGUGGGGUCCUCAUCCAGUCCACAAGAGAGGGUUCUUGAACCUCACGCAAGAAAGAAUUUGGGGCAAGUCCAUAAAGUGAAAUCAAAUUUAUUAGAGAAGUAAAGGAGGUAAAGAAUGGCUACUCCAUAGGCAGAGCUGCAGCAUGGGCUGCUCAACUAAUUAUAGUUAUUUCUUGAUUAUAUGCUAAACAAGGGGUGGAUUAUUCAUGAGUUUUCCGCGAAAGGGAUGGGCAAUUCCCAGAACUGAGGGUUCCUCCUCCUUUAGACCAUAUAGGGUAACUUCCUGAUGUUUGUAAACUGUCCUGGUGCUGGUGGGAGUGUCUUUUAGCAUGCUAAUGAAUUAUAAUUAGUGUAUAAUGAGCAGUGGGCACGACCAGAGCUCACUUUGGUCGCCAUCUUGAUUUUGAUGGGUUUUGGCCGGCUCCUUUACUACAUCCUAUUUUACCAGCAAGGUCUUUGUGACCUGUAUCUUGUGCUGACCCCCACCAUCUCAUCCUCGAAGAAUGCCUUAACUUCCUGGGAAUACAGCCCAGCAGGUCACAGCCUUAUUUUACCCAGUCCCUAUUCAAGAUGGAGUCUCUCUGGUUCAAAUGCCUCUGACACUAUUAACCUGGUUUUGAAGAUGAGGAAACUGAGGCUUGGAGGUCACCCAGCUACUUCUUGGUAGAGUUAGAAUUUGCAACUUCCUGGCUUGAAAACUCAGGCUUUAUCCUUUUCUGGUACCUUUCAAUAGAGGCUACAAGUCCCCAGGUUAUUUAUUUAUUUAUCUAUUGAGAUAGAAUUUUGCUCUUGUUGCCCAGGCUGGGGUGCAAUGGCACCAUCUAGGCUAACUGCAACCUCCGCCUCCUGGGUUCAAGUGAUUCUCCUGCCUCAGCCUCCUGAGUAGCUGAAAUUACAGGUGCCCACCACCCUGCCUGGCUAAUUUUUGUAUUUUUAGUAGAGACAGGGUUUCGCCAUGUUGGCCAGGCUGGUCUUGAACUCCUAACCACAGGUGAUCCACCCACCUUUGCCUCUGAAAAUGCUGGGAUGACAGGUGUGAGCCACCGUGCCUGGCCA